UAAUCCUAUUGCAUCAAUGUGAAAUUUCCUGAUGUUGACCACUGUACUGUGGUUAUAUUAGAAAAUGUGCUUAUUCUUAGGAAGUACACACUUCAGUGAAUGGUUCAGAAAACAAAAGUGUAUGUGUGAUGAAUGUGCAUGGAGAAAGAGACAGAGAGAGAGAGAGAGAGAGAGAGAUUGAUGGAUGGAAUAAUAAAGCAAGUGAGAUAACAGAAACAAUUGAUGAAGCUUGG